UGGGUCCCGCGCAAUGGAGCCUCGCGAACCCCGUCAGGCCCGGAAGGGAGCAGCGGUAAACGAACCGUUUCAUGUGCCGCGGGGGCGCCUGGGGGCU
rnacentral:SRP_RNA from 1 species